rnacentral:rRNA from 1 species
CCUACGGGUGGCAGCAGUGGGGAAUAUUGGGCAAUGGAGGAAACUCUGACCCAGCAACGCCGCGUGAAUGAUGCAGGUCUUCGGAUUGUAAAGUUCUUUUCUAAGGGAAGAAGAAAGUGACGGUACUUUAGGAAUAAGCCUCGGCUAACUACGUGCCAGCAGCCGCGGUAAUACGUCGGAGGCGAGCGUUGUCCGGUAUGACUUGGCGUAAAGGGUGCUUAGGUUGGUGGGCAAGUGAGUAGCGUAACUGCAAGGCUCAACCUUGGAACUACUACUAAAACUGUUGGACUUGAGUGAAGGAGGGGCAACCGGAAUUCGUAGUGUAGCGGUGGAAUGCGUAGAUAUUAGGAGGAACACCAGUGGCGAAGGCGGGUUGCUAGACUGUAACUGACACUGAGGCACGAAAGCGUGGGGAGCGAACAGGAUUAGAUACCCCUGUAGUC